CUUGUGAUAUGGAACCCCACUCCUGCCCAUCCCUUUCUCAUCCAGAUGCUUUCCUUCCCAUCAGACACCCCCUGAAUCUCUUUCUCGCCUAGGCCAGCCGUCCAUACCAGCCCUCUCUGUCCUUGUUGUUUCCUGGCUUUUGUCUCCUGCGAAGAUGCCUUCCCUGCCCUCUGGUCUCCCCGUGGAGGUGGGCUCCAUGCGAAACUUAGAUACCCAACUAAGUCGUCUACUUCGCCUGGCCAUGGCCGGGGGCCCAAGCUGGAGCCUGGCGAGGCUCCUGCCGAGAGCCGCUGUCUUGACGGCAGCACACCAGUACGUGCAGGUGCCUUCUCAGGCUGCAGCCAGAUCAUGUUGCAGCUGCUGCAGGCAGGGGGUGACUUGCGUCUGCACGACCAGCAGGGUCGCACACCACGAGACUGGGCUGAGCAGGGUGGCUCCAAACAAAGCUGGGAGGUAGUGGAGCUGUUGCAGCUGUGUCGCAUCCACAUGUCAGCACUACUGCAUGGUGGGGAAUUGGCACCCAUUGCAGCCCUAGGGCCAUUGUACACUGGCUCUGGGCACAGCCUGCGGCGCUCCCUGUGUUCACUGAUACAGACAGAAAGGUAAUGGUCCACCCUGGGGCUGCCCAUCCACCACACCCAGGUACUCCAGCCUUUCCUUCAGCCCCCUUUACCCCAGGAUGCUAAGGCCAGAGCAGAUUGGGAGAUCACCUAAAACCCCAGUCUUGGGGUUUGGCCACGUAAGUGUGUGUUAAUGGUUGGGGGAGCAGGGGCCAUUCCUGUGUUCUUCCUGCCUCAUGGUCCUGUUCUGCAUCUCCAGAUGAGCAGCCAGCAGCCACUGGGGCUGGUAACAGGCAUACCCUUGGCGGACCCCAAGGAGCUGCUGCCAGCCCAAGGCGAGCCUGACCGCACCUAUGAGAGCAGCUCCCAUACUCUCAUGGCCAACUUCCUGUGGAGGGGCAACCUUGUGACUAUGCGACAGCUUAAGGACCCUGGAGUCCAUCCUGAUGUGCUGUUGGCUGACCUUCAGCACUGCAGCACCCUGCAUCACCCCAAUCUGCUGCUGCUGAUGGCACUGAGCCCCUCAGUAAACCUGUCAGGGCUGUGUCUCCUCUUCGAGCCUGUGUGGCUAGGCUCCCUGCAUGUCGUGCUGCACCAACCAAGAUGGAGGGAAAAGGGACCUGUGCGCCGCCUGGCCGCAUGCUGCUGCAGGUGCUGGAGGCCCUGCUGUUCCUGCAGGCCCGCUGCCGGGCUCACGGCGGUCUCAGCUCCCAUGCUGUGCAGCUGGUACGGCCUGGCCUGGCUAAGGUGGGCAACCUAGAGCAUGGGCGCCCACUGGACCAACCUCACCUGAGACCCAGGCUGUACCAGGGCUACUCCUGGGGAGGCCCAGGUAUAGGACUGCCCCCACCUCCUGAACUGUACCCAUGGCUUCCUCUUGAACUAAUCCAUGGCGAUGUGCCUGCCACCACCUCGGACCUCUACAGCUUCUGUGUCCUGGCCCAGGAAGUCUUCACUGGUCAGUGAGUGGUACUAUACCCUACCUCACUGAGGCAGCCCACUAGUUGGGAUCUUCUGAUGGUGCUUCCUCACAGGAGAGCUUCCCUGGGCUGGGAGAGAGGGGCUUGAGGUGAAGGCCAAGCUGGAGGCAGGUGAGAGUCCAGUCUUGGAUCCCUUGGUGCCUACCCACUACCAGGCCCUGGUUCAGGCUGGGCUCGGUCUAGGGCCUACCAACCGCUGGGGCAGCUUGCAGAGUACUCGAUACCUGCUGCGGGAGGCCAUGGCUCAGGUACAGGCUCAGCGGGGGUGAGGGUAGCCAUGAAGCCUCAGCCAGGGCCUGUGUCCCCACACUCAGCCUCAUUUCCCUAGGACUCAGAUCCUGAGGUCAGUUCCCCACUGAAGUGGACUACACUGACCCCUGUAUCACAGGGGUCCCCACCAGGUUAGAGGGCAAGGGAGGGUGAUGGUAGGUGGUGGGCCCAGCUGGGCUGUGCCUCCUUAUUCCAGCCAGGUCUCGGCUAUCUCCCAGAGCAAAUGUACUAUGAGGCAGCUCGCAGAGCCAUGACCACGCCCAGGUCUGUGUACCCAAGCCCCAUCCCAUCCCAGGUCCUGGAGACUCCUGAGGUCACAGACUACAGUGGGGUUCACAGGAAUGCAGCCUGGUACUCAAGCAGCAGCUUGACUCUAGGCAGCAGCCAUAGUCAUGCCCCUGGCUCUAGCCAUAGCACCACCACCAGUGUCAGCCCGUCCUGCUGUCUGGAGCCCACAUCAACACCAGCCAGCACUGAGCUGAUGGGAGAUCUCUUCACCAGCCUCCAGAAGUAAGAACUGGGGCCUAGGGGGGGGACCCAGAGCCCCACCCAUGAGGUAAUCCUGUCUACCCUUUCCUAUUCCAGAAUGGAUCUGCUGGGAGAGAUCAUGGCAGAGCUGCAAAGUGGAUGUCAACUUGGAGACAAGGCUAGCCUAGGCCCUGACAAGCCUAGCCUAGACCCUACCACUGACACGGAUUCUUAGGAUACCCUGGCCUCUCCCUACAGAUAUUGCCCCCCUGGAAUCUUCCAAGAAGGACUGACUCCCCACUCAAUGCCUGUCCUAUGGAAA